UAGGGAAUCUUCGGCAAUGGGGGGAACCCUGAACGAGCAACGCCGCGUGAGUGAAGAAGGUCUUCGGAUCGUAAAGCUCUGUUGUUAAGGAAGAACGAGUGUGAGAAUGGAAAGUUCAUGCUGUGACGGUACUUAACCAGAAAGGGACGGCUAACUACGUGCCAGCAGCCGCGGUAAUACGUAGGUCCCGAGCGUUGUCCGGAUUUAUUGGGCGUAAAGCGAGCGCAGGCGGUUAGAAAAGUCUGAAGUGAAAGGCAGUGGCUCAACCAUUGUAGGCUUUGGAAACUGUUUAACUUGAGUGCAGAAGGGGAGAGUGGAAUUCCAUGUGUAGCGGUGAAAUGCGUAGAUAUAUGGAGGAACACCGGUGGCGAAAGCGGCUCUCUGGUCUGUAACUGACGCUGAGGCUCGAAAGCGUGGGGAGCGAACAGG
rnacentral:rRNA from 1 species